rnacentral:lncRNA from 1 species
AUUUAAUUGCACAUAGAAAAAUUAUCUGAAACAUUUGAAGAUUUUAGUAAGCAUUUAAAAUGAAGGAAAAAAUAUUCGUUGCGUGACAGUAAUAUGGUAGCCUCCAUUUGCCACGUUGGGAAAUAGUCAGUUUGAUAACAGUUUUGAGAUUAGACAGCGUCAAAGGUUGUUGAAAUAUUGGAAAUCCGUUAAAAAGGGAUUCAGUUUUAUAGAUUUUUUUAAUAUUUUUGCUACAAGUGUCUUUAAUCUGACUUCUCAAAUUUAUCAACUGGCUUCCAAUCCAAAUUUGGUAAUUUUUCUAGGAUUUUCUCUGUUUAUCAAACUUUAUGUAAAACAUCUGCCCAAAUAGGAUUAGUAAGUUACUUGGUAACUCCUAAACUUUAACACGAGACAUUUUUGGGUGAUGAAUGCUUUCCCUUGAAAUUUGAACAUUUCAAUAUUCAUUUGAGCUUGAAAUAAAAUUCAGUCGUCCAACAUGCACCUUCAAACAUGCAGCACUAGACGUUCUGUAUAUACAACAAAAGUAAUGAAGCAUGGGCAAUUGAAAGAAAAUAGUGUCCAUAUCUAAAAAUAAAAGUGUCCCAUUGUAAAGAUUUUAUUGCUAUAAGGGUAGUAAUUCCCUUUACCUUCAGCCGUCAAAUGGUCAUCUGUUAGCGUAAAUUGGGCUAAAAUAUAAUCAUGAUUCAUCUAGAGUUCUCAAAUAAUUAUCGCAACCAUUUAAGGAAAAUUGUUUAUGCAAUUCGUCAAGACAAAACCAGUCGAUUUUUUUCUAGCGAAAAGUGUACAUUUUAUUGUAAAGCACCAAACAUAACCAUUAAGAUCAUUUGUCAAGAGUUUUUACUGUUAUUCGUCAUGAAGGUAUACCUAUAACCGCCCUCUACUAGUUCCUGUGGUCUACCAAAACUUUGCAAAAGGCUUGAAAGCUUUUAUAGCAUACAAAAACUAUGUCAGGUAAACACCUAUAGGGGUAGCAGGUUUCCCUGUCAAUAUUUUUUAUCCCACCUUUCGCCAAACAAUAUUAUAUAUUUUCGCCAAGUUACAUAACUUAAAAUUUCCUUUUUUUUACCCCCCCCUUUUCUGCCCCAUGUUAUGAUUAUUCUGUCAAACUUAUUUUAGAAUCUACAAUUAAUGAAUAAACACUAAAACAUUUACUUUAAACAACAGUUUGUUUUAACAUAAGGGAAAAUAUUCUCGUAUUUUAAAACAACUUUCUAAAUGAGGGGCCACUAUACUUUUGAUAAAAAGAAAAUAAGUCUGGAAUAAACAAAAUUAAUGACAUGUUUUGAUUAAUAAUACCAUAUAUAGUUCGUAGGAAAUUCUUUAAAAGAAAAUAUUGAUUCCCUUUUUACUAAGAAGGGUUUUUACAACAAAACAAAAAGUUUUUAUCACUGUAUUUUGAUCUUUCAUUUCAUGUGAAGUCAUACAUUGGAGGCACUCCCAUUCGAGGGGUUUUCCCAACCUUAUGGAUAGAUUUCUUCAAAACGACAGGUUUCUUUUUUGACCAUCGUAAAUGAAAAAGUUGAGACAAAACUGCUUGAAACACGGUGUCACUCAAACGACUUUAAUAGUCUCCCUAAUAAUUACCUAUAUUAAAAUCAAAGGAUAAUUAAGUUUUGAAUCAGGGAUUUUCUUGUUUGAAAAUUUUGUCACAAAACAGCUUUCUUUUCUAAACUAUCUUUAAAAGAGAGAGACUCAAAAGUUUGCUUCAAACACGUGGUGAAAGUCGUAAAUAAUUCUGUAUGUGACUUAGCGGAAGCAUUUAACCAUAUCAUUUUGUCAACAAUUCAACAACACUUUAUUAUUAGUCCUGUUGUCGAUAGCUAAAAAUGCAAUCAGGCUGAUAUUGAUUUUCUGUCCAAAUCUUAAUGAGGUCAAGGUGAAUCCGAGUAUUUCUGAUCGGUAAAGUCUGGAAAUCUCGAAAAAAGUAAAUAAAAGAUGGAGGAAAAUAAAUCGUUCAUAUUUUUGCAAAUUUUUCGAAUACGAUUUUUUAUCGCCACAAUUAUUAUUUUUUCGCAAAUUGCGAAAAUGGCGACCGCCUGCAGGAUCCCUGGGGUAGGAAAACCUUUACUAUUAGGCUUCAAACGUUAAUCUUUAGAAUACGGUUUAGGAAUCUCCAUUACCUGUUUAAUGAUCGGUGGCGGCCCACACUCGUUAAAAUAUCACCCACCAACUUCAAAAGGGAAGGGUGCAAUUGCAUGCCAAAAUAACCUGCAGAAAACACUAUUGUAACAGGAGUCAACCAUUUCAACAUGACAUGCAUGAUGGAAUGUGAAAAUAUUAAAAGAUAAAUUGUUGUCCCUUCGUUGUGUUUUAGCGCUUGAUUUUGCCACUUGAUUAGGAUUUAUAUCUAGAAAUUGACCAGAUGAGGGUCAGUUGAAAACAAAACUUUACGACGAUCGAGAUGAUUUCGGCUUCCCUAUAGUAUAGUGAAGUUUUAUGGAAACUGAAAUCAUUACUUCGUAAAUUGUACGUACUCCAUGACGAGUUGGUUCACCAUUAUGGAAUACAGCCCUUGGAUGGUGUAAACUUACCAAAACAUGGUGUAAUGUAUGUAUGGUGUAUGGUGCAUGGUGUAUGGUGUAAGGGAAUGGUGUAAUGUUAUGAGGAAUGGUUGAUUGUGUAACGUGCGUCGGAAUGUUAUAUACUUUACGGACCUUUCGUGGUUGCAAACGAAGUUUUUUUCAUUUUUUUCGGAUUGUAGCAUAAAAAAUAAUAAAUUUAAUUUUAAAAUUUAAUUGCAUUAUGGGUAGUUUCAUGUGUAGAUAAAUGGGAAGGUUAUGUAAGUGUAAUGUAUGGUGCAAAGUGUAACGUUAUGUGUAAUGGUACAAGGUGUAUAUGUGUAAUGGUAUGGUAGGUAUGUAGUGUUAGUGGAGUUUACACCACAAGGAUGUAUUGUUAUAUAGAUGAUUCAGAUAUUCAUUAUGUUUGUAACUACAAACUGCCUUUUAUAACGACCGAAAAUUUGAAAAAUUUUCGUUAUAUUGCUAUCAGUUGCGUCAGGGUCGUCUCGUGUCUCGUGUCCGGCCCGAAUACUUUUAGUUUUCGCACUCUAACUUUAGUAAAGGUGAAUAGAAAUCUAUGAAAUUUUAACACAAGGUUUAUGACCAUAAAAGGAAGGUUGGUAUUGAUUUUGGGAGUUUUGCUCCCAACAUUUUAGGAAUUGGGGGCCAAAAAGGGCCCAAAUAAGCAUUUUCUUGGUUUUCGCACUAUAACUUUAGUUUCAGUUAAUGGAAAUCUAUGAAAUUUUGACACAAGGUUUAUGACCACAAAAGAAAGGUUGGGAUUGAUUUUGGGAGUUUUGGUUUCAACAGUUUAGGAAUUAGGGGCCAAAAAAGGGCCCAAAAUAAGCAUUAUUCUUGGUUUUUGCACAAUAACUUUAGUUUUAGUAAAUAGAAAUCAAUGAAAUUUAAACACAAUGUUUAUGACCACAAAAGGAAGUUUGUAUUUUUUGAGUUUUGGUCCAACAGUUAGGAAUAAAGGGCCAAAGGGUCCAAAUUAAACUUGUUUGAUUUCAUCAAAAAUUGAAUAAUUGGGUUCUUUGGUAUGCCGAAUCUAACUGUGUAUCAGAUUCUUAAUUUUUGUCCCUUUUUCAAAUUGGUCUACAGAUUAAGUCAAAGGGUUCCAAAUUAAACUUAGUUUGAUUUUAACAAAAAUGAAUCCUGGGGGUUUUGAAUGCUGAAUUAGAAAUGUACUUAGAUUUUUAAAUGGGUUUUAAGUUGGUCAAAUGGGGUCCAAAAUAAACUUGUUCAUCAAAAAUUGAAUAAAUGGGUUUUUUAUAUGCAAAUCAACGUGUAUGUAUUCUUAAUUUUGUCAGUUUUCAAAUGGUCUCAUUAAGGUCCAAAGGGUAAAAUUAAACUAAGUUUGAUUUUAACAAAAAUUAAAUUCUUGGGCUUAUUUGAUAUGCUUCUACUAAAUUUGAUUUUUGAUUAUGGGCCCAGUUUUCAAUUUGGUCCAAAUCAGGAUUCCAUAUCAAUUGUGGAAUAGAAGAAAUUAAAUGCAAGAUUGCACAAUAGCAAGAAAAUAUCUAAUGCAUAUUGUGCAAUAGAAUUAAUUCAAUUGGAGUUAUUUUUUGUAUAGAAUAGAGUUGAUAUAUAUAUGUGAUGAAUUGCCAGACGAUGAUAUGAUGUACAUUUUGACUAUUUUUAUUUGCCAAUAAUUUAUAUGAAAUAACUUUGGAAAUGCCAAUUAAAAUGUUCUGAAUUUUUUUUUUUUUUUAUACAAUAAAAAUGUAUAUUCACUUUUACUACCAACCAAUCUUUACCAUUCAGUGAUAACAAGCACUUUAUUUUACAUUUUAAUAUUUUAUGAUGUAUUUAAGAGUAGUUAUUGUUGCAAACUCCAUUAGAAAUUUGAAUUGAUAUCAGUUUUGGAAAAAGGGAAAGGGGAUGUGAAAAAAAAAAAGGGGGUUUAAAUUUUUCUCAUUUAGAUUUCAUAAAUAAAAAGAAAUUUCUUCAAACAUUUUUUUGAGAGAUUCAUAUUCAACAGCAUAGUGAAUUGCCUCAAAGCAAAAAAAAUAUUUUAAGUUCAUUAGACCACAUUCAUCUGUGUCAAACCUAUGCUGUGUCAAUAUUUAAUUUUAGAUUAAAAAGUUUGAAGAGAAGUCUUUAAUUGAUUUGUAAAUCUUGACAUUUGUUGUGUGAAAAAAAACAUGUAAUGUCAAAAAUUGAUCACAAUCCAAAUCCAGAGCUGUAUCACGCUUGAAUGUUUUGUCCAUACUUGCCCCAACUGUUCAGGUUCGACCUCUCGGUCGUAUAAAGCUGCGCCCUGCGGAGCACCUGGUUUACAAAUGUGACCUACUGAAUUCGACUUUUUACCUUUAUUUCUGACAUUUUUACAGAUUGUGUCUGCUGUUUGUUUUGUUUACACAUCAUUAUCAAUAUUAUCAAAUUUGAUGUGUUUAAUCCUUUGAUUUUGCCAUUUGAUUAGGGACUUUCCGUUUUCAAUUUUUCUCGGAGUUCAGUACUUUUGUGAUUUUACUUUUUGAGGUGAUUUAUUUUUUGUUUUUUUCAUUUCAGAGUGUGUUCCAGUUUUGACAAGCAAUCAUGUCAACCAAAACACCUGCAGAGUCUGUCAUUGAAUUAGGUGAAGGUAAGAAUCUA